rnacentral:lncRNA from 1 species
GAACUAGUAGCUCGGGAAAACAGGGCUUUCUGAUAACUAAUCACUGGAAGCACCCGAUUCUCUCUACUCUGCACUUGGCCGAGAUACCGAACUUAGGUGGGAACUUUUGCUAUUGUUCAGUGAAUGCCUGUAGAGAAGAGAUGGAAGGUCAAGCAGGUGUUAAAAUUCCUUUGGUUCUUUGCCGAGGAUAGCCUAGUUUUGGAAGCCCUGGUGGAUAGCCUUGCUUUGAAGAUGAGGAUUAGGAUUCGAUGGGGAUGACAUUAUCGCCAUACGCUAUUGGAUUUCACCCGGGCGCUACUUGGACUCAG